rnacentral:misc_RNA from 1 species
GGGCACUUGUGUUGAGAUCGGAUCUGAUAAUCUCUGAGCUGCUCAACCAGUUUAGACCUUGUUAUCAUGUUAACCAAAACGAUCGAAAACCUGAUUCUCCGAUCUCAAUUAAUUUUUGCCUUCAAUACCAAUUGCAAAUUCAGAAGCAACGAACUACACCUAGGUAUUGGUAGAUUAGCAAUUGAAGAAACGAUCCCUCCGAAUAAGCUGUUACACUGGUCCAACGCAAAAGGAAAACGAAGAAGAAAAUGCUAAACUGAGAGGGAUUCGCAUGACCCCAGUACACAGUUAGACGAAAUAAGAUAGAAGAUUU